rnacentral:lncRNA from 1 species
CAUUUUGAGCUGUAUAUGUAAACAUUGGCGACAGACACGUUAGUGCAAGUGUCAUGUGCAAAUUCCAGAUAAGUAUGUGAAAAUGUGUACCCACCACACAUCCUUUCUCCCCUUUCAGGGACAAGAAUGCAGAAGUAUGAUGGUGAUCCAAGUCUGAGUGUGCAGUUGAUGGGCGUCCACUCAAGACUGACGCGUCAUACAUGAUGGACUCUGAAGGUGGCAUACUGUUUCUCCUCUGACCAAUGUGGGUGUUUACCAAAGGUGAACAACAUCCAAGAACUAUCCUCAUUGCCUACAUGGAGUCAGAUGCCAGCAGUGGCCUUGGCCAUACAACCUUGAUCCUGUCUUUUAAAAGCCUAAUUGGUAAGCUAUUUUUUGCAAUCAUAUAUUUACAGAGCCAUCAAUUAUUUAAUAUGAACGUGUUAAUCAGUAGCAUGUUUUGUUAGAAGUUUCAUUCAUUCAUUGUGUUUGCUGAGACUGACUCUAUGUUUGCUGUGCUGACAUAUAGCUUAUAAUGUAAGAACUCUAAGCUCAGUCCAUAUUUGAGACAUGAAUACCUUCGAGCUCUAAGAGUGAUGCUGAGGAAGGAAAGGGCAUGGCAUGCAUCGAGUCAGGGUGUGUCUCAUGAAAACUCAUUCUGAUCACUUUAGCAGAGACAGUCAUGGAAAGUUCAUGAAUAAGAAUGCAUGGGCAUGCCACUCUGCUACUGAAACGAUUCUGGGACAAGUCAUUUCUAACGUUUGAGAGGUAAUGAGCGCCUCAGCAGUUCCAUCUCCUCAGUUUUACCGAAACUGUUCUUUGGUUCUAGGCCAAAUUUUCCCCCAGAUCAAAAGGAUCCUAGAGCAGGAAGGUGGGAUUAAAU